UACGGAGGGUGCAAGCGUUGCUCGGAAUUAUUGGGCGUAAAGGGCACGUAGGUGGUCUCAUUUGUCUGGGGUGAAAGCCUUGGGCUUAACUCAAGAAGUGCCCCAGAAACGGUGAGACUAGAGUCCUGGAGAGGGUCGUGGAAUUCCCGGUGUAGCGGUGAAGUGCGUAGAGAUCGGGAGGAACACCAGAGGCGAAAGCGGCGACCUGGACAGGUACUGACACUCAACUGCGAAAGCGUGGGGAGCAAACAGG
rnacentral:rRNA from 1 species